AUGUUGUCUCUGUUGUCUUUCUUAAAGGUUCAGAAAGAAAAGGAGUUCAUCAGCAUGUCUUUCAGAAGAGUAACAGGGAAAUGCAAUAGAAAUACAGAUGAUUUCAUCUUAUGUUCAAAGUUACCACACCAUAAGAUGGUUAUGCAGGUGCAGAGAUGGGAAGUUUUCAUCAACCCGGGGGAAACUGCCAAAUGCAACCACACUUCAGUAGGCACAAAGUACCCCUUGGAGGAAUUCCUGGUUUUGCUUUCUCAUAAAACAUCCAUCAAAUUGUAAUCACCUCUUACUGCUGCACAAGCAAGCAGUAGCUUUUCUGAGUUAGGUAAGCUAGUUCAAUCCUUCUCACUUAGUCGGUCCUAAAUUUACGUAACGGAUCUUACCUUUCUGUGACUCUCUUAGUUCUUAUUUCUGCUUUAUUUUCCUAUUUCUCCUGCAGGUCAGAGCCCUAAAGUUCCUUCAUUAAUUGCUGUAAAGUUUUGCUCCUUCACAUGGGUUUGAUGUUGGCCUCCAUGAGGUUGGUAUGUGUGUUUGCAUUGAUAUGCAUAUAUUUAACAUAUAUUACACAUAUAUAUUCACAAACUGGUAGAUAGAUCACCUUUGCCCCUGUUUGCACCUCACAGUGAUAAUCUUGAGAGAAUAAGCUACGUAUACAAUGCAACAUUCCCUGUGGUGUGGAAUGACUUUUCAGUUGUUUGGCACCUAAGGCAUAAUUGCUGUGACUGCUAGUGGGCCAGCCGACUUGCUACUUUGUGUUUGAAUGCUUUGCCAUCAAAUCUUUGUAUCUUCCACCACUGGCUGAAAAAAACAGUUCAAAGCCUGACAUGGUCACACUGUCACUGAACGCAGGGGAAUAAUAGUUUCUUACAGAACGCAGUGAUUCAGGCUCCGAAAGGCAACAGAUCAUUUCUAGGGAAUAAUAAUCAAAAUUCUAAUUAAGUUGUCCACUUCUUCACUGUGGUAAACCACAUCUUCAGCUUGGGGCUGCUUGCCCCUCAAAACAAAAUUUUCAAAGUUCAUCUUGCAUUCUGACUAUUAAAAAUGGUGCUUAGACAUAUUUAACGAGGCUAUUUGCUGGCAUUCUGAUGUGGUUUUUCUAAAGACAAAAUCACAGCUAGUCGGUAACAGAAAUUUUCUCAUUUGUCAAUGAAGCUAGUGCAUGGGAGACUUUUGGUUGGGUCUUUUAUGGUGCUGAGCUGCUGAUACGUCAUGAUAGAACAAACCAUACUUGCUACAUAAAGCUGGCUAUCCAGUCUUCAGUCUCAGGUUCCAUGCCUCUUUCCUGAUAGAAAAGCUGCAAAUGCAUUCUUAGAGGUGCACAGCCAUAAGAAUCAAACCCAGUUUUAUAGCUUUUCCACGUCUGAGUAAGCCUCCCAAAUUAUAAUACCAUCCCACUAUAGGGACCAUCUUCACUAUGGGCAAGGGGAACUCAAAAGUAAUUUAUUGUUUCUUAGGAUGCCUCUGCCUGUGUGGUUUUUCUUAUAUUCCCACAAGCAUCUUCUUCCUCCAGGAACUGAAGGAAAACAGAACAAGGAGAAAGUGUGAAGGAGAUGACCACCAAUUCCCUUCUAUUGCUAAAUUAUUACUUAAUAAAAAGAAGCAUUAUGAAAGUAACA
ensembl:lncRNA